CUGAGCAUCCCAGUCUGUGAGGCGCCCCAGGCUUGCCCUGUCCCUCAACUUCCACAGAAAUCUUCAGCAGGGAAGGGGGGACAACCCCAGUUUCCUUGAGGGGCUCAGUGGAGCCUGAGAUAAGGGGGAAGAAUGGUGUAGGCUGGUGGGAAGGGGGAGAUAACAGCCCAAGCUGAGGUGUGAUCUACUUCCGUAGGUCCCUGCCCCAGAAUGCGGAGACAGAGGGCACCAACACCCAGGAACCGAUGAAGCCAGACAAGCAUGCACAGUCAAGGCUACUUGCAUGUCUAGGCUUCUUUCCCCCACAGAAUCUUAGGGUUGCUGGCUGCUCAGUUCCCCCCACCCCUCAUGCCCUUUCUCUUUCCUCAACCUUGUUUUGACCUCCAAGGACUCUGCUGAGCUGUGUGGAUGGAUACCUCUAAUAGAGAGAGCUAAACUUUCUCCCCGUCUCUUCCUGUCUCUGUUGCUUGAGGCCCAGGGCAGGGAAGGCCAAGGGAGUGCCAGAGUCAGUAACGAGGUUACAGGUACAGCAGGGCUCAGAAUCAGGACCAGCCAGCAGUCAGGGCCUCAUGAGCACCACCUUGACCUGAGUAACAAGCUGUCUUAGCCUGGGCUGUAGACAGAGAGGGACGGGAGAAAGGUGACUGGACAGUGGGGUAGAAUAGGGCUCUGCUACAGGAUGGGUAUUGAGUGGGCAGUGCAGGAGGGAGGAGAAAGGAAUCUGGGUAAAUAAAUGUGCCAGGGAGCUGACUUUUGCAUGCCUUAUCGGAUACCUCUUCACACUUUUGCAUGGAGACAUCGGGGGUACUUUGAUCCUCAAAAUGGGACUUUCCUCCAGUCUCUUUAGCUAGCCACAGAAUAGGGUGUCUUGAUAGGAGGGGGACUGCCAGCUGCUGGACCAGAUGUUUCAAAUCACCAGCACAUCUCCUGGCUGGAUAUAAAUAAUGUCUAUGACAACGUCGGCAGAGCAGUGUGCCAGGUGAAGACCCUGAAAAGGUCCAUGAACCCGGGCUCUCUGUCUGGAUGUCAGUCUCAUCUUGCUGGAAGACCUUGUAGGGCUAAUGCUCACCCCUGACUUCCUGGGUCAUCAGGAAGUCACCCCUCCAGUGACUGCCUGACAAAGAGGCUCCUGACUUGGUGCCCUGUAUCUCUCUGGCCAUUGGAGGCCCGGCUCCUCCAAUAGGGAUUCUUGUCUCUUCCCAGUCCCUAACCUCUCUGAUUUCCUUUGAUUCUAUGCUGUCUAGAAAAGAGGUGGGAUAGAAUCUGGUGCCGUGAAUUAAUUCCCACUGGCACAGGGAGGUGACAUGAUUUAUCCAAGGUCACCUAGACACCCAGAGCCAGCACAAGGUUUAAACUUGGGUCCUGGCUCUCUGAUUAGCUCUAUGUUGUUGGAAUUUUUCCCUGAGACACAGUGUGGCUCUCCACACUGCCUGAUUCUCCCGCUCCCCAGGCACUGGGGACUCCCUAGGCACCUGCUGGCUUGUGGGACCCUGGCCAGACACUCAGCAGGUGGCUGCUUGAGGGACAAAGAGGCUGGUGAUCGGCUGCAGAGCUGAGAGGGAGGAGGGAGCAGGGAGAACUGAGGGGGGCAGUGUAGCUGAAUCUGGGCUGAGAAUCAGGACAGAAGGAGGAAAACAGCAUGUAGAUAAGAUGUAGGGGUGCUUGGUGGUUUGGGGGCUUUCUACUGAGCCUCCCUAAAUUCUGCUCUUUCUGACUGAUGGGAGGGAGAGGCUUGAUUGUAAAGAGAAGAGCCUGUGGGGAAGGGAUGAAAGGUGUGAAGGGGCCUCUGAAGGACAUGAUGAGGUUACUACCAGGGUAUGAUAGUUCUAGUUAAGCCCUUGGGGAUGCACUUUGGGGAUGGAGACCCACAACUUGAAUUAUGCAAUGUAUUUGGUUUGGUGACAAGCAAGUGGGACCCUGUACCAUAUCCACCUGUUGAAAGUUACAGGGACACACAGACUCAGCAGAGAUGGGAAAGGUUUUUUUGUUUUGUUUUGUUUUUUUGUUUGUUUUUUGUUUUUUGUUUUUGUUGGUUUUUUGAGACAGGGUUUUGGUGUGUAGCUUUGGAGCCUGUCCUGGAACUUGCUCUGUAGACCAGGCUGGCCUCAGACUCACAGAGAUCCACCUGGCUCUGCUGGGAUUAAAGGUGUGCACCACCACCACCCGGCGAGAUGGGAAAGUUUUGAUGAAGGACUUCCAUCAUGGCCUGGCCUGGGGACCCCAGAGACUUUCUGGGCCUUCACAGAAUGAGAUGGUGAUUUCCUGCUACAAGUGAGACAGUGAGGUGCAGAAGGAUUCCCGGCCAGGAGUCAUCCAUCCUUCUGAAGUCCAGGGUUAGUUGGAUCUGUAGGUGCCAUUUGUCAUAUCUAGCUCAUUCAAUUAAUAUCAGAGGAGAAAACAAUAAAAACAAUGAAAAUAGAAGUCUCUGGUCUACUUAGAGAGGUAGCAAGAGCCGAUCUUAGUUAUCAAGGCUGUAGCUUGUCUCUAAACCAAGUUCCUUAAGGUCAGGGCUUGUGCUAUAGUCUGGCUUUUAAUAGGUGCUUGUUUUAGUAGGGAUUGCUGAAUGGAGAAUGGAAGAAUGGGUGAAUGAACAGAUGAGUUCUUGAUGGGUAGUAUUUGCUGGGUGAUCAGGAAAGGGGAGGCGGGAGAGUGGAGACAGACAGAAGGACAGAAUGACAGUCUGUAAAGGCAGGGCCAGUUAAAGCAUCCUCACUGCCUCUCCUCCCCUCCCUCCCAUGCUUCCUCAGUCCCUGCUCAUCUCCUGGCAGAGUCCCUUGUUCCUGCUGGUCUCAGUUAGGACCUCCCACCUCACCCCUUCUCUUCCUGCCAGACACCCUGCCAGCCAGACUGCAUGCAGGCUCUGCAGCCAGGGCCUGGGAUUGUUGUUGGAGAUGUGGCAGGUUUGUUUGCUCCCAAGCCCUCCGAGAAAUCUCAACAAUCAAUGGCCAACAACACUCAGCCUGCAGCUGCAGCAUCGAUCUUCUCCCCGAAGGGCUGGCGGCCGGACGGCAGGUUCCUGUUUGCCUAUACCACCACUCUUCUCUCGGCUACGAGAGACAGAGUCCUGGCCGAUGCAACACCUUGCAAAACGGGAGCUGAGAAAGGUUCAUGGACCUGCAUUGCUGUCUAGAUUAAUCUUAGGCUUCCGAGACUCCAUUCAAGGGCAUAUCUGAUCUCAGAGCUCCAUAUUGGUCUCUCCAGGCUAUGCAAUGGUUUCUGAAGCUUGAACGGAUAAGUACACUCAGGAGCCCCAGUCCUUAAGUUCAUAUGAGGCUUCCCUCUCAGCCAGUUGUGAACUGUGGGAGGGAGGGGCUUUGAAAGGCCAGGCCCUGUGCUUUCCUGUGCUGAUUUCUACCCACGCAAUUCCUACAGAUGUCUUAACAUGUAUUUAAUGUGUGCCACCUACGAGGCCCCAAGCCACUGGGGACACAAGCAGUGGUGGCACUAAGGGAUGACUGAGAAAAAGCUUUACCGCAUUAAGAAUGGCCAUCCAGGCCCCGCCCCCUGAACCACCUAAGGCUGAUGGCAUGACAGCUUAAUUUGCAGAAGGGAAAAAAAAAAAAAAAAAAAAAACUAAGUAAAGGCUGUAAUUUACAGGCAGAAUAAUUGGCCAACUGUUAGGGAAGGGGAAAAAAACUCAACAUACAAUCUAUGUAAAAAUAGUGUGCUUGCUAUGCCGAUUCAGCUUCAAGACGCAGUCCCAGCUGCCAGGGACCUAUCAUCCCAUUCUAACCGGAAUGCUGACCCCCUAAGCUCCUCCUAAGUAGGAACUCUGGAGCUGCCCGAGAUACACGGGAUGAGCAGACUCCCUCUUUGCUGGGUUGUUGCUGCUGGAAGGGACAUCAAGCGACCAGCAAAGGCUUCUGAUCCAACCAUCUGGGGACCAGACGGGGCAGCAAACAGACAGUGAGAGCAUGGACAAGUCCUCAGACCCAGGCUGGAAGACACACACCACAGAGCAGACGCCUCAUGCCAGUUACCCAAGUGCCAGUCCAGCCGUACUUGAAGCAUGACGUAGACUAACCAGGCUGGCCGAGGAGGAGGAAAACAAAUCAGGCAGAAGGAACAUGAAGAGCCCAAAAGCUGUUGAGUCUGAAAAACUGAUUUGGAGAUUCCUUUGACCUGGCUGGAUUAGUCAUCUUUCCGGUAUGAUGUUGCUUCCUGUUGAAACUGGCCUUGGAGACCUCCUGGUACCUGCCUUCUACCUCCUGGCUGUGGACGAGGUCUGGCAGCUUUUCCUCUUCUAGGUGACUCUUAUUUAUAGAGCUUACCCUCUCAUAGGUGAAAAAGCCAGCUUGGCAACUGUCAAUUUCAUGCAACCAUACACUGAAGGCUCCGGAGAGUGGAGGUCUAGUGAAGCCAAGGACAUGGUAGGCUGGGCUCUUCCCCGUCUGGGCUGAGAGACUCUUUUACUGAAGUUACCCCUGUCUAUCGCCCCUUUUUCUCUCUGGGGAGGUUGGGGGUAGAAUAAUGAACCCUGAUAGCUCUGCCCAAGUGGGGGUGCAGGAUUCCUAAGCAGAGCCCCACCUAGAAGAUGGACUUGACUGUCGCUAGGAGAGGUGGAGACAAGAAGGGCUGGAGGAUUCUGGAGGGUCUGGGGCUGGAUGAGAGAGAGGGGAAGGAGGCAGCCUUUCUGACAUGCCCCCUCUGUUUAGGCAGACACGUGGGGGGGGCAUGGAAGCUCAGUUUCUAAUUAAGCCCAGUCCCAUUGUCUUCUUGCUCCCCAUUAGUGCCCCACAGCAUCCCCAAGGCAUUUUAAGCUGCCACCCUGCUGAGGAGGCUGGGAUGGCCGCCAGGGCCUGCCAAGCUUGAUUCACUUAGGCCCGUGAGGGGCCAAAAGCCAACUCAGAGUUAACCGCCUCUCAGAGAGGUCUCCUCAGAAACCCGGCAGGGGUUCCCUACCUGCAAUGUCCGCCUCUGGGCCUCCCAGUGGAAUCCAAGCUAUCUCCCACAGGCCCUUGUCCCCAGGAAAAGCCCUCUUCCUAAAGUGCCAGGCUAGACCACAGGAAGCAGGAAUGCUUCUGAAGCAGCCCCAAGACUCAGCACCAACCCGAGCUCCACGGCAAGCAGCAAUUAGCAUUUUAGGUUAAGUCGGUCCUAGGCUGUUAGCCCUUGCAUCAGUGGGGAUCCUGGAAGCCAAAUCCUUCCUUUUUUUUUCUCCCACACACUAUCCUCCAGUUUUUGGAAGAAUAAGCAGUUGAGAUUUGCUAUUUCUGGUUUCCCCCCAUCUUUCUACCACACUCUCAAGAGAACUUAGAGAGGUGGAACCCCGGGUCCGAGGUCACAUAACUAUGGAAGGCAGUUUCUAUACCUGGAGACCUAGUCCCACCCCAGUCUUGGCUGCUUUUACCUUCACAAUCUCCCCAGGCCACAUUCACACACGCAGAGUUUAAUUAACUUUAUUGAUAUUCAGAAAUUAAGAGAAUGACUAAAGGUAAUUGCUCAUUAAAAAUCAUUAAACCGACACAGCAGGCCUAGGCAGGCCUGGCUCCUGCCGAACUGUCUUCUCCCCGACUGUGGAAAGACAUCCCUGGCACUUCCCAGGGGUUGGGAGGACGCCCAUAGUCAGUAAUGCCUGUCAUACCUGGAACCAAUUACAUCUAAGAGGCUGCGAAAGAAAUGGGGAAUUGAGCCCAUGGGGUGGGGGCACCACCCAUCUAUCUUCUUGGUUUUCAGGGCCUCUGCCUCCCCUGGACUACUGAAGGUUGAAGGUUCAGACUGUGACUGACUGCAUCCUGUAGCCUGAGUCCCUCUUCUGAGCGAAGCUCUGAGGUCUCCCAGGCUGCAGGGAUGCAGGGAUGCAUCCUCUGGCUGAAAGACUUACAGUGUAAGGCCUUUACUCCUCACAUCUCUCCUAAAGUCUCCAGGACUACCAGGAGAUAGUCAAGUGAGCUACCUCCCAAAGAAGAGGGCUCAGAACCCUAAUGAGUAACCUUCCUCUAUGUCGUUGAGAUAGGGGCCUCCUGGCCACCCAGCUCUAGGUUCAGGCUCUCUCACCUGUCAGGUUUGCCACUGAUUCCAAAUCAUCUUUUUCUACCUAUGAAACCCACCAGUCUGGGCAAUCCCACAGCACCCGAGAAUCUAAUGAAUCACAGAAGGACACUGGCUGAGAACAGACUUCUGGCCAGAGUGGGUAAAUUCCUCCCAACAAGAACCUCCACACCUCCAGUCUAGGCUGGACUGUCAGCCAUACCAGUUUUCUUCCCGGAGACCUGUGGUCUUUUUUUCCAACCUGCAAGGAGCUGACUGGCAGGGACUAGAUCUGCACACUAGUGGCUUAACUGGUGAAUUGUCACCCAACACUCAGAGCUCCUGAAGUGUGGACAUCCUGGGACCUGCAGAAUCCAGACCACACUCACACCUUCAGACAAGGACUCCAUUGCCAGAGAACCAACACAGACUCUGUUCCCCAGGGAAGGAGCCAGGAUGUGACCAGACCCCAUACGGGUCCUGAAUACAGAGAGAGAUCCUUAGAUUGUUGGCCCAGGAGAUGGAUUUCUCUUCAUCCCUUCUCAUCCCUGGAGUGGGGCUUGUGAAAUUCUUCCACCUCCUAGCAAGGUGAACAAUACAAUCACAAGUUUUCCUAGCCCUAGGAGGAGCCAGUGUGGGCAGCCAGAUGGUCUGGGUAAAGACCUGGUCUGCUUGUGGGUAGACCUAGAGGUUCAAAGACGUGCUCCAGCGCCCCCAGGGCAGGAGAACAGCUGCUUGGUGCCAGCUCAACCCAAAACAGCCCUAGCCGGGCUGAUCUGACCUCCAAACUCUCGGCCCAGGAAGAUGGAGCCCGAAGGUUAGAAAUUCCCCUUCCUCCCUCCUCCACAGCAGACGCUAGGAACCAUAACCAUAUGGCGAGGGACUUGGAGUCCCAAGUCCAAGUGCGGUUUCGCGGACCCCACCAAGCGACCAGUAAAAGCGGAGAAGGACCUGAGCAGUUGUAGACUCUGAGACCGCUUGCCUCAGAUUACAUUAGAAUCUUUUCUGCUCCCCAUUCAUCUUUGCUCCAAACUCCCUUGCUGCCUACUCCAAGGCCAAGCUUUUCUUGACCGAGACCAAUGAAGUUGGGACUUGACUCGGAGUCCGGGACUGGGGCAAACGGUGAGCUCCGCCUCCUCUGCCGCUCUGGGGUCGAUAGGACCCUGCAGGAAGGCAGACUCAGAGGGAGGCAGCACUCCGGGCAUGUGCAUGUGUGCAUGUAUAUGUGCAAUAAAAGAAUUUCGGGGAGGAACAGCCAGUCCCAGGACCUCAGUCGCUGCAGCCCAGCAAAGAGCGAGGGGAUGUACAGAAGUCUCCUUGGGUCCCCGAAUGUCUCCCCAGAAAUGUGCAAUAGGUUCCAAUUCUGACAUGACAGUGCCAAGGCGAAGAGAGGUGAGAGAUGUCCUAAUCCCGGGUCCCGCCAUCACUCUACCCGGUUCCUCUGCAGUGAGGAUGCGAGGGGACACAGACUCAGCAGCAAAGUCGAGCGAAGUUUGGAGAGCGGCAAGGGAAGCAGAACGGCGGGCCGUGGACGGUCCGGACUCCGCACCCGCACCGCGAUCUCCCGGACCUCCCCACCCUCGCAACGCGCCCUGGCGCCCCUAGACGCCUGGAGUGGAGCGAGGUAGCGCGCGGGUAUUCCUGAGUGCUUCCCACAUCCCUGGGUCCCUCAGGACCACACAACUCUGGGGUGAGCCAUAAUGCAGGUUAAACCGUAUACAUCAGGAAGGUUCAUAGUGACUUAAAGGCUGCUGGUGGUCUCACUCAACUGUGCCUGGAUUGGGCACUGCCUAUAAGAAGGAAGGUAAGCAUGCUCUCUGGAAACCUGUAACAUGACCUUCCCGACUGCCUGAGCACUCAAGAGUGGUCCAUUGGAGACUACAGUCCCAGAAUACAGCACUCUCCCCUGAACCCAGAGGAUGGGUCUGUGCUACAUGAUUGGAAUAACAACAAAGCUUGAGGUCACUCUUUACAAAAGAUCUGGUAAGCCUGGCUUCUGUGGAAUGGGCUCCAUACAAGGUUGAGGCAGAGCCUGGACCAAGCUAAGAAGCAGUAGAAUUUUUUGGUAAGCAUCUCUUCUCAUGCUUUUCAAAGGGCCCAUUCUUCCUAGAGCUUGGUAUUACCCAUAACUGAGGACAAUAAAAUACCCAAGGGGACAUUCAUCCAUAUUCAAGGCUUACAGUUUGAAAGUUUACUCAAUUCAUAUACACAUUAGAGAGUGGCAUGGGCCAGUGAGCUGGCUCAGUGGGUAAAGGCACUUGCUGAUGACUAGAGAACCAAUUCCUGUAAGUUAUCCUUUGGCUUCUGUGUACACACACACACACACACACACCCCAACCUAGGAUGACCUGCAAGGCCCUUUUCCUGUGUCUAUACCUAGCUGUUUGCUCUCAGAGAUUCUGAUUUCUCCUGUGUAAUCUGAUCACUAAAUUACUAGUUGUUGACUUGGUGACUGACUACAUGGCCUGUGUGCCCUCUACUCAAACCUAGCACAGUGACCAGCACAUCCUAGAUGUUCAGUGAAUGUUGUGACUACAUGGGGGUGUCUAAAGCCUGGGGCAGACCACUGAUGCCAUAUGAAAGCUGUGAGACAGGGGCAUUGCUUUAAGUCAGUGAGGGUUUCCCACAGCAGAUGGUGAAACCAAGUUGAAUCUGCCUAUGUUUCAGUGACUGGAGGAGGGAGGACAGCGUGGGGGUGUGGCUUAUGUAGCCAGCAACGUGAUGGAAACUGCCAGAUAGCUGAGGUCAGGAAGGAGACUGGUUCAGCAACGCUGAGCCCCCACAGGAAAGUGUGAGGAAGGGCUGGAGUCAUCUGUGGCUGGGCUGUAGGAGUUUUUUGUUUUUGUUUUUGUUUUUUUUCAGUCAUCUGAGUGACAGGUUGUUCUUGGUGGCUACCUUGAAGGAAUUGCUUCAUUAUGAAGGUAUACAAACUAAAACAUAUCAGUCUGGCAUCAUUUGGGUGGGUUUCGGGCACUGAGAACCCUGGGAAGAAUGGUACUUCACUGCUAACCCAGGAGGAAGGCUACUACAGAUUAGGGUUGACAGCCAGAGAGGGGGCUCCUAGCCACUGCCCAGACAGGAGUGGGUCUCUAACCACUUCCCUGGGGAAGCCAGCCUCACUUCUCCAAUUCUAAACAGGCUCUCAGCUCAUGGGGUCACAGGCAUAUUGGUGACUUGUUUUGAAGUCUCUGCUGGGAUGACACUUGCUUUCUGAUCAAGAAGAGGGGGGAAAAAUCCAAAUCCAUUCUUCUCCAAGACAGCUUUCAAAGCAAAGAGAGCAUCCAAAGGGGUUUAGGGUUUUAGGGGGGGCAGGGGAAGGGGGCUGCGACUUUAUCUCAGGGCCUAUAUGGGCACAGCUUUCUAUUCACCGCCACCAUCUUCUUGGAGUAUGUCCACAGACUCAGUGGCUUCUGGCACUGCCAGGGAUGUCAAGCCUGGUUUCCUGGGUUACUCAAAGUCAAUCAGCCAAGGGUCCUGGCUCUGAGCAUUCGCUCCCACUCCAGGAAUGGGACCAGAUCACUGUGGCAAGAGCUAGGGUGCACUGAGACAGCAGCAGAAAGCGGUUUGAUGUGAACAACUUUCCAUCUCCAAACUCAGGCCUCCAGCCUGCCCACCACCCCCAGCCGAGGCCUUUGAUCCUCCACAGCGCCAUGAAUGUUUAAUGCCACUAGCUGGGCAGAAAUGAGGAAGGUGCUGGAACAUGCAGACUGGAGACAGGACUUGAGAUCCAUCCUGUUGGCUAAAUUAUUUGCACCCAGGAGCCCUGGGAUGGGUGGGAGGAGGCCCUCCCCCACCAUGUGGAGGGAGAAGUCCCAGGGUUCAAGUCCGUGGCACUCAUAAAUGAAGCUCUUUGAAACCAGGAUGGGACUGAAACUGAAAUGAAGAAUCAAUUGUAGAAGCCCAAUUCUCCUCCCCCUCACCCCCCCCCCCACCUUCCCACCCCCCGUUUGAUUGAAGGAGAAAGAUAGAAAGUUAAAUGACAAUCAAAUGCAAAUACAGCUCAACAAACACCACAGCAAUUACCAGGCUCAGGAAACACAUGGCUUUUGCAGGCAGCAGGGGUUGGCAAUUUGGAAGCCUGGGCCUGUGCAGAGGUGACGGGCAUGGGGCUAUUUUAAUGGACAGUUAAAUAGAUGCAAAAACCUUGCAUCUAGUUUGCAUACAUGCUGAUGAGUGGGGAACUGGGACCCAGGGAGGUAAUGCUACCCUCACAGCUGCCUGCCGGUUGUUUUAGAUGGGAAGGGACGCUGAGUGCUGGUGAGGCAAAGCCAAUUUGAGUUCCUGGCCAGUCUCUUUGGUCCUAUGCACAAGCUGGUACUGAGGUAUGAGGAUUGAAGUUGAAGAGAGUCCAUGGGGUCCUCCAUGAAAGGGCUCCAGGCACUGGCCUUCCAACAACCCAGAGGCUCGGGUGAGAGUGGCCUUCUCCUCAAUAUUUGCAUAAUGCUUUGCAUCUCAUUUGAAUGCUAUUAAUUUGGUGUCAGGCUAGGUUGGCACGGUGUAAGAAAGAGAACAGCUGGCCUUCUCCCUCCCCUCUGUACCCCGGGGCUUACUCUUCACAUAGCCCUCCCCAACCUCAGAGACAGAGGCCUCCACUUCCACUUCCCCCUCCAUGUUCCCUGACACACGGAAAGUCUCUUAGGCAAACCAACUCCUAAAAGCCAAGGCCACCUAUACUGUGGCCGGUUGCAGAGUUAUGCUGAAGGAAGAAGAAAUGGUCCCCAAGGGCACCCUUGCCAGACCCAGAGACACCAUGGAGGAUGCUGGGGGCCUUCGUCUCCCCAAGCAAUCAAAGCAGCUUGGCUUGGAAAGUGUCCAAAGAUAAUAACCAAGAGAGGGAGGGAACAAAGACAGGUGAUAAUCUCAGAGAAAUAUGGAAGGCUCUGGAAAUAAAAUCCUCUGAACUCAGUUGUCCUAGUGCCUGAACUGACAUAAAACACAUCCGCCAGAGGCAUUGGGUUUACGGUGCUGCUCAGGGGCUGGGGACUCAGCACCGGGUUGUUGGCCAAGUGGUAAGGAAAUGGGUCACCUGGUGGGUUAAGCUCUGGAGAAGAUGGAAGAGGCCUUAGGCACACCAUUUAGACUUCCUAGGUCAAUGGGCACCAGGGAUUCCAUGGUGAUCUGGAAAUGGUGGCCCCAGAGUCAGGCUUGCCAGUUGGCUGAAACACCCUCUCAAAACAGCCGAGUCCUGGGAUAGGGAAAUGGCUCAGUUGGCGGAGUGCUUGCCUAGCAUGCCUGAAUCCCUGGGUUCAGUGCCCAGCACUACAUAAGCUGGGCGUGACGAUUCAUGCCUAUAAUCCCAGCCAGCCCUCAGAUGGUAGAGGUGGGAAGAUCAGAAGUUCAAGGUCAACCUCAACUGUAUAUCCAGCUUGGGGUCAGUCUGAGCUAUAUGAGACCCUGUCUCAAAGCACCCUCCCCACUACAGUUCUCUCUCUGGGGAGGGGAUUGCGGCUGGAAUGACCCCUCAGAUGCAGAUGCUGGGGCCAGCGCCAUUCACUUCUGCUGAUACAAGGCAGGAGAGGGUUGGUGUGAACAAACAGCCCAUCCAGGUUGACCUUACACCUGACCUCACACCACCGUCUCUGAUAGCUGCCCAGCCUGGGCCAAAGCGAAGGCACAAGAGUGUUUGUUCUCCUUAUGCCCGAGGCAGGACUGGGGGGGGGGGUUGGUUUGAAUAAUAUGAGAGAAUAAUCAUGUCUCCCCUUUGGAACAAACCCUUCUAUGAAGCUUUGCAAUUGUAGAAGGCAUGGGCUCGUAGCUGAUUCACAUUUUACAGAAAGGCCUCAAGUAUUUCCUCUUUAAAAAGAUUGCCACAUGCAUUGAAAGCAAAUUCACAAUAGAUCUGUCUAUUCUCCAUUUAAAGGGAGUCAGGCCCUGAGUUCAGUGGGUUUUUUCUUCUUCUUCUUUACCUUUAAAAAUAAUAAUAGCUCCAUUUAUCAUUUCCUGUUUGAGGGCAUUAAACUAGGGGAUUUAACAACACCUUCAUAACAAUCCUAUGAGGCAGGCACAAAGCUGUCAUUGUCUCCAUUGUACAGAUAGGGACAUUGAGGCCCCAGGAGACUUGGCGAUUGAUUCACAGCUACUUAAUGGUAUAGUUGUGCUAUACUGUGAAAGUUAGGAAGAAAGGCAUGUGUCAGUGGGCCUUUGUGGAGCAGGUGACAGAGGGGUCACAGGUUCUCUGGGCCAGGGCUUCUGCCCAGAGUUCAUCUGUAGGGGACUAGGCCUAGAGGGUCACCCAGGAACAGGGUCUGGGGGGGUAGCUGCUUAGAACCAAUAGGGAUGGUUGGUUCUAUAAUUCAGCCAGCAGAUAUUCAAUUAAAUGGCCAGCACUUAGCUGGGAUCCAGAGCAGACUUCAAGUGCUCCAUAUCCUCAGAGACAGCACUCAGAAGCAUCUGGCUGAAUGCAAAAUGGAGAUGUGGCCGUGUGGCAGAGAAUGAGGAGCCAUUCUCUUGUGUGGCCAAAGCUUGUGUGGCCUCUCGGUUCCCCACAGACCUCUCCACCUGUCUCUCCAUUUAUCCUUCACUACAGACCCUGGCCAUUCAUUAUUCUCAGUCACUUGUCUACAGAAUGAGGAAGCCUUUGUUGAACACUUUGUGUAUGCCAGGACCAGAGUCCUCAAGGAGCUCUCCAGCCUCGGUCAGAAGAUGGAGUCCUAACACGCUGUGGUACAACAUCGCUGUCUCUACAAGGCUCUGAAGGUCAUUGAGAUGCAGCGUCUCCCUUGGACCUUGCAAUCAGAGACUAGGGUACAUAUCCCUUUCAGGGAGAUCGUCUAGCUACAGAUCUUCCAGGUGUCUAACCCUAAUCCUUCCUGCUGUAGAAGUAACCCAUUUCCUACAGCCCCACAGUGUGGGAAUGGGUUUGUUGUUCCUUUUCCUGGACCCUUUCUUUGAGUGCCAGCACAGUGCUGCCCCAUGAGACCCCAGGUGGAGUGUCAGAAGCGCUCGUUCUCCCUCGAGGUCCCUAAGGAGCCAGCUGCAGGCCUGCCUCCCGCCUCUUCAUUUUCUGGGCAGGAAUAUAGGACACAAAUCUCAAAUGGUGCUCAAUUCGAGCUGUGCAUUCCCAUCCCCGACUCCUCUCCUUGAACUACUUGUCCUCUGAUUGUGACAUCACAAUGGUCUCUAUGGCAACCGAUUGUGAGGUCAUUGGUCCUUAAAGCCACAGAGUCUGCAGGUACAGACAAUGCCUGGAGAAAAGAGAGGCUAUAAAAUAACACACCCAAGAGUUAGAGAUCCUUCUCCCUCCAGAAAUAGCAGGGCUUCCAAACCAACGCAGGGGGGACUCUGUCAAUCUGUCCUCAGUGAGGCCACAGGGGUGACUUCCGAGGACAAAGCCUGUGCGACACUGUUCACCCAGAGGCUGCAAGAACAGGCCUCGAGUUCAAGUGAUCCCAGCCUUAUGCCUGCAUCAGGCGUGCUUCUGAGUCUCCAUGUCUUCACCUAUGAAAGGAAAAUCGUGUCACCAGCCUCCCAGAUGUGCAUUCAGCGAGAAGACCCACAGGAGGACAUGACACACGAUAAGGGUUUCAUGUAUCCUGGCCUGACCUGGAACUUGCUAUUUAGCUGAGGACUUCUGAUGGUCCUGCCUCCACCACUGGAGUUCUGGGAUUGCAGAUGUGCAUCGUCACGCCUGGCUGAUGAGGUGAUAAGGCUUCAGGAAUGCUAGGCAAGCCCUACCAACUGGGCUUCAGCCUCCUCUGAACCCACACACUUAAUUCCCACUUUACCCACAACCCCGCAGCUCCUGCCUGUCCAGUCGGCCGUAUCUGCCUAGGCUCUCUCCCAGCUUUUCCUCUUACUCCCUCUUCUUCUUCUGAUCUAUUCCCAGUGCAGCCCAAAGAAUGCAGAUUCUCUACCUGCCUCAGUCACCCGCCUCCCGCUUCCCUCAAGCAAAGCUUUCGGCUGCGCCACCACAGCAGGAGCCACCACCGGAUCCCUUGCUUAUUUCAAGUCCUCCUAAAGCUUGUUGAGUUCUUAACUUAUUAAAGAUAAGCACAUGGAAAUAG